rnacentral:misc_RNA from 1 species
GAUGAAGAACGCAGCGAAAUGCGAUAAGUAGUGUGAAUUGCAGAAUUCAGUGAAUCAUCGAAUCUUUGAACGCACACUGCGCCCUUUGGUAUUCCUUAGGGCAUGCCUGUUCGAGCGUCAUUUGAAACCUCAAGCUCAGCUUGGUGUUGGGUGUCUGUCCCCGCCUCCGCGGGGACUCGCCUCAAAAUCAUUGGCGGCCGGUACGUUGGCUUCGAGCGCAGCAGAAACGCGAACUCGAGGCCCGGCGGAUCGGCGACCAGAAGUCUCUUCUUCACAGUUUGACCUCGGAUCAGGUAGGGAUACCCGCUGAACUUAAGCAUAUCAAUAAGCGGAGGA